rnacentral:rRNA from 1 species
AACGAACGCUGGCGGCGUGCCUAACACAUGCAAGUCGAGCGCGAAAAGGGCAACCUGAGUAGAGCGGCGCACGGGUGCGUAACACGUGGGUAAUCUGCCUUAGAGUCGAGGAUAACCUUCCGAAAGGUUGGCUAAUACUCGGUAAGCUUACAGUGUCUUCGGACGCUGUGGGAAAAGUAGGCCUCUGUUUACAAGCUUACGCUCUGAGAUGAGCCCGCGGCCCAUCAGCUAGUUGGCGAGGUAACGGACCACAAAGGCAACGACGGGUAGCUGGUCUGAGAGGACGAUCAGCCACACUGGAACUGAGACACGGUCCAGACUCCUACGGGAGGCAGCAGUGGGGAAUUUUCCACAAUGGGCGAAAGCCUGAUGGAGCAACGCAGCGUGUGUGAUGAAGGUUUUCGGAUCGUAAAGCACUUUCGACCGGGACGAAAAACCUCUGGCUAACAUCCAGGGGCCUGACGGUACCGGGAGAAGAAGCACCGGCUAACUCUGUGCCAGCCGCCGCAGUAA